rnacentral:rRNA from 1 species
UAUCCAACCUGCCGUCUACUCUUGGCCAGCCUUCUGAAAGGAAGAUUAAUCCAGGAUGGCAUCAUGAGUUCACAUGUCCGCAUGAUUAAAGGUAUUUUCCGGUAGACGAUGGGGAUGCGUUCCAUUAGAUAGUAGGCGGGGUAACGGCCCACCUAGUCAACGAUGGAUAGGGGUCUGAGAGGAAGGUCCCCCACAUUGGAACUGAGACACGGUCCAA